rnacentral:rRNA from 1 species
GAUGAACGCUGGCGGCGUGCUUAACACAUGCAAGUCGAACGAAGCACCUACCAAGGAUUUCCUCGGAAUGACUAAUAGGUGACUGAGUGGCGGACGGGUGAGUAACGCGUGGGGUAAACCUACCUCAUACAGGGGGAUAACAGUUAGAAAUGACUGCUAAUACCGCAUAAGCGCACAAUACUGCAUGGUAUAGUGUGAAAAACUCCGGUGGUAUGAGAUGAGCUCGCGUCUGAUUAGCUAGUUGGUGGGGUAACGGCCUACCAAGGCGACGAUCAGUAGCCGGACUGAGAGGUUGAACGGCCACAUUGGGACUGAGACACGGCCCAGACUCCUACGGGAGGCAGCAGUGGGGAAUAUUGCGCAAUGGGAGGAACCCUGACGCAGCAACGCCGCGUGAAGGAAGAAGGCCUUCGGGUUGUAAACUUUUGUCUUUAGGGAAGAUAGUGACGGUACCUAAGGAGGAAGCCACGGCUAACUACGUG